GAUGAACGCUGGCGGCGUGCUUAACACAUGCAAGUCGAACGAGAAUCAACGGAUUGAGGAUUCGUCCAAAUGAAGUUGAGGAAAGUGGCGGACGGGUGAGUAACGCGUGAGGAACCUGCCUCGGAGUGGGGAAUAACAGUUGGAAACAGCUGCUAAUACCGCAUAAUGCAACGGAAUCGCAUGACUCUGUUGCCAAAGAUUUAUCGCUCUGAGAUGGCCUCGCGUCUGAUUAGCUAGUAGGCGGGGUAACGGCCCACCUAGGCGACGAUCAGUAGCCGGACUGAGAGGUUGACCGGCCACAUUGGGACUGAGACACGGCCCAG
rnacentral:rRNA from 1 species